rnacentral:rRNA from 1 species
GCGGACGGGUUAGGAAUACAUCGGAAUCUACUUUUUCGUGGGGGAUAACGUAGGGAAACUUACGCUAAUACCGCAUACGCCCUACGGGGGAAAGCCGGGGACCUUCGGGCCUGGCGCGGAUAAAUGAGCCGAUGUCCGAUUAGCUAGUUGGCGGGGUAAAGGCCCACCAAGGCGACGAUCGGUAGCUGGUCUGAGAGGAUGAUCAGCCACACUGGAACUGAGACACGGUCCAGACUCCUACGGGAGGCAGCAGUGGGGAAUAUUGGACAAUGGGCGCAAGCCUGAUCCAGCCAUACCGCGUGGGUGAAGAAGGCCUUCGGGUUGUAAAGCCCUUUUGUUGGGAAAGAAAAGCAGCCGGUUAAUACCUGGUUGUUCUGACGGUACCCAAAGAAUAAGCACCGGC